GGAUAUACAAUUAUUAUAGUACUUCUGAUUGAUGAACGAGUAGCUAUUAAAACUUUUCUUUAUCUAACAAACUGAAAUCUUCUGAUAGGUUUAUUAUAUAAAUCUAUGUUUAAAAUCUUCUAAAGCAUGUGGUUUGCUUCCAAUUUUAGUCUUGGACAUUAAACAAACUAUUACUUUAGGAAAAUAUGGGAUUUUCCUGUAUACAAACCUAACAACUAUUAGGAAAAUAAGGGAUUUUCUUGGUUCAACUAUCUACAUUUUUCAACAUAAAUACUCUCAUGCAUUUCAUACUUUUAUAAGAAAAUAAGGGAUUUUCUUGGAAAAUAUACACUCAUUUUGGAAUGGCAUUCAAUGUUUCUAAACCACUUACGAACUCACCAACUUAAUUGUUGACACUUUCUCUUUGAAAUAACUUGUAUUCUCAGGGAACCGCUAAGCAGGUUGGAAAUCAACUUUUGGGAAUUAACGCGCUGGUGUUAAUUAUUUCUUUUUAAAAGAUGUUUAUGUAGUUAUCUUUUGAACAUGUAAUGAAUACUGUUAUGUAAACACUUUUAAAACCCUUAUUUAUGUAUGGUGGUGUGUACUUUCCUUUCUAUGAACUGUUAUGAUACUGAAUAUGACGUCCUCCGCCCCCGAACGUUUCCGCCGUUCUGGUUUGGGGGUGUGACAGAUUGGUAUCAGAGCUUUGUUUAUAGGGAAUUAAGUAUAUCAAAACCAUUUCUUUUUGGUAUACAACUAUAAACUCAACUGGGCAAAAACACUCUGAGAAGAGUCAUACUUUUGAAAUUAAAUUUAAUUAGUUUUUAAAGUAGGCAUGCACUCAUUUCAUACUAAUAACAGUUUCAUAUCGGAUAAUUUUAGAAGUAUUAUAAAUAAGUUGUGCAGUACAGGUACGCCUUGGGACAUGUAAUCGGAACUGGGAAGAAUAUAGCCCGAUCAACUAUAUUUGUCCGAGAGUCGACUAACAUAUGCCAAGGAGUGUCUGCAGUGGACAACAAUUUUAAAACUUACCAAAAGCACAUCAUUACAUAAUACUAAGGGAGUUUUUGUGUUGUCAUCAGCCAUUAAACUUAAGGGUAAAUUUCAUGUGCUCUAGCUUAUAGUAAAUUCUUAACCCUAUUCUCGUACAGACUCAAUGGCUGGAUUCCAUCACCCUAAUGACCCCUACUACCCCAACCAAGGUAAUGGAGGACGGAUCGAAGAAGAUCAUGUAGAAGACGAAGAGCCUAUAGAGUUGGAGGAAGGAGAUGAAUCUGGUACAUAUUCGGAGCCAGAAGUUAUCAAUCCACCGAUCCCACAAUCUCCCAUCCACGUGAGGAACUUCCAAGGACCCACUCCUGUGUGGGGAAGUCACCUCCACCAUUGGAGCCAACAACAAAGCUUACGCCCUCCCUACGGCAUGUGCCAAGACUUCUAUGAUGUCAGAGGCGGGGGAUCAGCAGACCGAGCACUUCCAGUCAUGGUUGGCAAACUAGCCAACCAGUGCUAUUAAUCCGGAGUUCAAGCCAACCGGAUCCGCGAGGUCAAUGUGGAAGUGCAAGUGCACACUUCCGAUAUCCGCCGUUUGGACAAGUUGCAAGGGUAUGGCCUAGAACGCACUAAUGCCCUCCAAGAACAAAUGAAUGCAGCGAUCGCAGCAAUAGCGGAGAUAAGGGAACGACAAGCCGCAUUUGAUAGGCGCCUCAUGGAGUCAAAGCGGUCCGACACGGAGUCAAGCUCCAAGCGCAAACCACGCCGCAAGUAGUACUUGCCCGACUCUCAAAUUUUGUUAUAAAUUAGGACUUCGGAUAAAAGUAUUAUUUUCUUUAAAAUUUUCUGUAAACGGAGACCUUUAGAAAGGUCAAAAACUUUUGUCUAGACUCGGAUGUAACACAACUAUAUGUUUAAUAUAUAUAGGGCAUAUCUCUUUCUUGUUUUAAUUAUGUGUAGUUCGUUCAAUUCAUAAGUACAUCUAUUCAAACUUUAUUUUCAAGCUCAAAACCCUGUGUUGGCCAAACCAAAUUCUUAAACUAUUAAAAGUUAACUCAAUAUCAUCCAACUCGCAACCACCGAAACUUAUAAUAUCUCAUUCUUUUUCUUUUNGCAAUGCCUCCUCGUAGAUCAGCACGUACCAACGCAACCCCACCACCACCUCCACCACUAACUUAUGAUCCGGCAAUGGUCCAGGCUGCUAUCACAGCAGUAGUAACAGCAGCUCUCUCGCAAAUAAACUCCAAUGCAAAUGGAGGAACAGGAAGCAGCACGAAUCAUUCCAAUCGUGGCACCAGCCAAGGUCAAGUAAGGGAAUGUACCUACAAGGAGUUCUCCAACUCAAAGCCAAAGACUUUUAAUUGCAUUGGAGGAGUCAUUGCGCUAAUGCAAUGGUUCGAAAAGACCAAAACAGUCUUCGAGAUCUGCUCAUGCCAAGAAACAAGCAAGGUUAAGUUCGCUGCUUGCACCUUCAUAGAUCGAGCCCUCACUUGGUGGAAAAGCCAUGUGAACUCAGUGACGCUCACUGUCGCUAACGCCAUGAGUUGGGAAGAACUGAAGGUACUACUACUGGAAGAAUACUGCCCAAGGGGUGAAGUGCAAAAGCUUGAGCAGGAACUCUGGAAUUUGAAAAUGGUCGGGUCUGAUCUAGUCGCUUACACAGCUAGGUUCAACGAUCUCGCUGCUUUGUGCCCUACCAUGGUCAACCCAGAAUCAAAGAAGGUCGAAAGGUACAUUUGGGGGUUGUCACCCCAGAUUCAAGGGCAUGUCCUAGCUUCCAACCCUAUUACCUACAACAGCGCUAAACGCCUGGCUCAGCGACUCAUCGACCACGGGGUAAAACAGGGUACCAUUGCAGCUACCGCCAAUCCAUCUAAGGAGGCACAGGGCCAGAAUAGGCCUUGGAACAAGAGAAGGGGACAAACCCUACAGGAGAACCCCAAGAAACAACAAGUAGUAGCGAUCCACGCUAUUACUGUACCUACCAACACUGCCCCCACAAGCUCAUACAAUGGGAAACUUCCGAAAUGCAACCAAUGCAACUUCCACCACCACGGUCUCUGCCGUGACCUUCAAUGCACCAGGUGCAAUAAGAAGGGACAUACAGCCCGCUAUUGCAAAGAGCCAACCCAACAAUCCGCCCCCACUGCUAAUACCGGAGUAAGCCGCGCCUGCUUUGAGUGCGGAGACACGGGGCACUACCGCAGGGACUGCCCGAAGGCAAACAACAGGAAUACCGGCGGAAGGGGCCGAGUUUUCGCAAUGGGACAAGAUGAAGCCAUUGCGGACCCUACUGUUGUUACGGGUACGUUUCUUCUCGAUAACUCGUAUGCAUGCAUUUUGUUUGAUAGUGGAGCGGAAAGGAGUUUUGUGAGUCACGACUUUAAAGGCAUGCUAAAACCAAUACCACAAUCAUUAAGUGAACCGUUCAUAGUAGAAAUGGCCAACGGGAAAACCGAAGGCACUAAGGAGAUAUACUUAAACUGCACCCUAACUCUAAACGAUAAUCCCUUUCCAAUCAACCUCAUGCCAGUCUCGAUUAAGAGUUUCGAUGUCAUCAUUGGCAUGGAUUGGCUGAGUUCUCAUCAUGCAGACAUUUUAUGUUACGAUAAGGCCGUUCGUCUUAAUCUGCCAACCGGCGAAACUUUCAUUGUCUUGGGCGACAAACCCAGUACCACUCUUCGUAUCAUCUCAAGUAUCCAAGCUCAGAAGUGCCUACGCAAAGAGUGUCACGCGUUUUUGGCACAUGUUGUAGAUGUGAAACGCGAAGUCCAGGACGUCAAGAAUGUGCCCGACGUAUGCGAUUUUCCCGACGUUUUUCCCGAGGACCUUCCAGGAAUACCACCCGCGAGACAAGUCGAGUUCAGAAUCGAUCUGGUUCCCGGAGCUACCCCAGUAGCCAAAGCACCCUAUCGAUUAGCCCCGGCAGAGAUGCAGGAGCUAUCCAGCCAACUGAAUGAGCUACUUGGAAAAGGAUUCAUCAGGCCGAGCUUCUCGCCAUGGGGAGCACCCGUGUUGUUCGUGAAAAAGAAGGAUGGAUCGUUCAGGAUGUGCAUCGACUACCGAGAACUCAACAAACUUACCAUCAAGAACCGAUACCCCCUACCCCGAAUCGACGACUUAUUCGAUCAACUCCAAGGAGCCAACUACUUCUCCAAGAUCGAUCUGAGGUCGGGAUAUCACCAGCUGCGAGUCCUAGAGGGUGAUGUUCCCAAGACGGCCUUCCGAACGAGAUACGGACAUUACGAGUUCGUAGUGAUUCCGUUCGGACUAACCAAUGCCCCGGCCGUAUUCACAGAUCUAAUGAAUCAGGUAUGUCGUCCAUUCUUGGAUAAAUUUGUGAUAGUAUUCAUAGACGACAUACUCAUUUAUUCAAAGAAUAAAGAAGAGCAUAGUCAACAACUGAGACAAGUUUUAGAGACGUUACGGACUGAGAGACUUUAUGCAAAAUUCUCAAAGUGUGAGUUUUGGAUUAGAAAAGUGGACUUCCUCGGUCACGUAGUCAGCAAGGAAGGAAUCCACGUGGACCCAUAAAAAAUCAAGGCUAUCAAAAACUGGUCUGCCCCAACUACUCCAACAGAGAUUCGCCAAUUUCUAGGUCUUGCUGGUUAUUAUCGAAGGUUCAUUCAGAAUUUCUCCAGCAUCGCAAAACCUCUUACCGCUUUAACCCAGAAAGGUGUGACCUACAACUGGGGAGAAAAGCAAGAUACUGCAUUUCAGACUUUGAAACAGGUCCUUUGCAGUGCACCCAUCCUUUCUCUUCCAGAGGGGACCGACGAUUUUGUGGUGUAUUGCGAUGCUUCGAAGCAAGGGCUGGGCUGUGUACUAAUAAAGGGGGUAAAGGUUAUUGCAUAUCCCUCACGACAACUGAAAACGCAUGAGGUCAAUUACACCACUCAUGACUUAGAACUUGGAGCGGUGGUCUUCGCUCUUAAAAUCUGGAGGCACUACCUAUACGGUACCAAGUGCACUAUCUUUACAGACCACAAGAGCCUCCAACACAUCUUCGACCAGAAGGAGUUAAACAUGAGACAACGACGUUGGGUCGAAUUGCUCAACGACUACGAAUGUGAGAUUCGCUAUCAUCCGGGAAAGGCAAACGUCGUGGCCGAUGCCCUUAGUCGUAAGGAGUACUCUGGCCGAAGAGUGAAGUCAUUAGCCAUGUCGAUCCAUUCGCACCUGUCAGCACAAGUCAAGGAAGCUCAAAUAGAGGCCUUGAAACCCGAAAACGUGACAGGUGAGACCCUUAGAGGAAUGGACAAGAACUUAGAAAUCAAGAGUGACGGAGCACGCUACCUCAUGAACCGGAUCUGGACACCCAAGUUUGGUGGAUUCAGAGAGGUAGUUAUGAGCGAGGCACACAAGACUCCAUACUCCGUACACCCAGGGUCAGACAAGAUGUAUCUAGAUCUCAAGCAACUCUACUGGUGGCCAAACAUGAAAGCGGAGAUUGCUACCUAUGUGAGCAAGUGUUUGACUUGCGCCAAGAUAAAAAUAGAACACCAGAAACCCUCAGGUCUACUCCAACAACCUGAAAUACCUGAGUGGAAAUGGGAGCAGAUUUCCAUGGACUUUAUAACGAAACUGCCCAAAACUCAGGGUGGCCAAGAUACUAUUUGGGUGAUCGUCGACAGACUAACCAAGUCCGCUCAUUUCUUACCGAUCAAGGAAACUGAUAAGAUGGAAAAACUAUCAAGAACCUACAUCCGGGAGAUCGUACGACUUCAUGGAGUACCGAUGUCCAUCAUCUCAGAUAGAGACAGCAGAUUCACUUCCAGAUUCUGGCAAUCAUUGCAAAAAUCCAUGGGAACAAGGUUGGAUAUGAGUACAGCAUACCACCCACAAACUGAUGGACAGAGUGAGAGAACAAUCCAAACCUUGGAAGACAUGUUGCGAGCAUGUGUAAUCGACUUUGGUAAAGCAUGGGAUGUUCACUUACCUUUGGUCGAGUUCUCUUAUAACAAUAGUUAUCAUACUAGUAUCAAGACUGCUCCAUUUGAAGCCCUUUACGGCCGUAAGUGCAGAUCACCUCUGUGCUGGACAGAAGUGGGCGACACGCAAUUGGCAAAAGGUCUAGUCCCUGAUAGCACCCUCACUGGUCCGGAGAUCAUCAGAGAAACGACUGAAAAGAUCGUGCAAAUACGAGAACGACUGAAAUCCUCAAGGGAUAGGCAAAAGAGCUAUGCCGACAAAAGACGUAAACCCUUGGAAUUCCAGAUUGGCGACCGUGUACUACUGAAGGUCUCACCCUGGAAGGGCAUGAUACGCUUUGGAAAACGUGGGAAGCUAAAUCCUAGGUACAUUGGACCCUUCGAAAUCAUUUCAAGAGUUGGUCCAGUGGCCUACAAACUCCGACUUCCAAUCGAGCUUAACAAAGUACAUCCAGUAUUCCACGUAUCGAACCUGAAAAAGUGUUUGUCCGACGAAACACUUGUAAUUCCACUCGAUGAAAUCGAACUAAAUGAAAAUCUUAACUUUGUGGAAGAACCCGUCGAGAUCAUGGAUAGGGAAGUUAAGCGAACUAAACAGAGUCGCAUUCCAAUAGUAAAGGUCCGAUGGAAUGCUAAGAGGGUACCUGAGUUCACGUGGGAACGAGAAGAUCAAAUGCAACAGAAGUAUCCACACCUCUUCCUCAGCCCCUAAAACUUUUCUUUUGUAUUAAAAUUUCGGUACGAAAUUCCCUCUAACGGGGGGAUGAUGUAACAACCCGUCAUUUCAAGUCAUUGAAAAUCAAGUCUUGUAACCUCUUUGAAAAAGUAAUUACAAUAUCAUCAAAAAAUGAAGUAUUCAAAAGCUCUGUUUGGAGUACACUAUGUAGUAGAUAUCGUCUUAAGGUUUCCAAGCAUAUAAAGAACACUAAAAUCCGAGUUAUAACGAAGAAGUUAUGACCAUUCUAAGUUUUCCGACAAAAACCGGCAAUACGAAGUUACGUAAAAACGCAAAGUUUCAAUAAAAUACUUUUUGACCUUAGGUGUCUAAAUAAAAGUCAUAGAUAUCGUUAAACUACAAACGUACACAAAAAGAACGCCCAAAUCGGACAUCGUAUGAAAAAGUUAUGAAUUUUUAACGAAUUUUCUUACCCCGACCUUUUAAAAAUAAAUAAUAAAAAUAAUUUCGGAAUUUGCCAACGGAAUCUAAACGAAAGUUGUAGAUCUUAGUCUCACCUACGCGUGGAUAUAAAGAAUGUCGAAAACGGAGUUCGUAUGAAGGAGAUAUGAAUUUUUGAAGUUUGAUAAAUAAUUAAUAUAUUUUUUUUUAAUGGAAAACUUCGGUAUUAUCUGAAGUCUGAGUCACGCGAGUACGCCCUGCGUACACGAGUACGCCCAGCGUACUCAAGGCCUUGGUCCAGGUUCGUCCACGUCGCCCCCUAUGCGAGCUACGCCCUGUCCCAUCCGAACUCCGGCGCAGUCGAGGACUCGGUCAUGCAUAACACACGGGUACUCCCCGCGUACGCCCGUACACCCCGCAUACCGAGGCCUCUCAGCCCCUUAUAAAAGGGAUGCGAGGGUUCUAGGAAAACUUGCUCAUUUCCUCUCGUUCUUCUUGCGUUUUUCCUCGUUUUCCGUGCCCGUGCAAACCCGAAGCCCUGGUCGCUUAGCUCAAGUUCCGGAGGUCGUUCGUACUCCCGAGAUUCCCGAGAAUCUCGAGAAAAUCCGCUUUUUCAAGCCAAAGUUCUGCUUGGUUUUCGUCACACCUUCUUCAAUCUAUCAAGUGAGUUCAUACCCCCUUCAAACACACUUUAAAUACAUUUUAAAUACUUUUAUACUCUUUUAGGGGGGAAUACAAGUAAACAUACGGUUAUUAUCGUGUAUUUUAUAAAGCUUCACUUCACUUGUUUUUAUCGAAUAAAUCACUUGGAAUUUAUUACUACUAUGGAAAACUCUUGUCAUACUUUGCAUGCAUUAGACUUAUACAAAGUAUAUAGUGAUUUCAAAGUACCUUUCGUUGCUAAGCCAUUUUAUACAUUCUAAAAACUUAUGAUUUAUGCUUUGUCAAACAUUGUGAAAAGGGAUAAACUUUGCAUACAAAACCAUUACUUUAAUACAGACUUAGUUGAGAAUCCAUGAGACGUGUAUAUCUUCAAAUACUACCUUCUUGUUAGAAAGUAAUACUACAAGUCCUGUUUAUAACCGGAGUCUCCCGUUAGGAGAACAUGUCAAAUGUGUAUAGAUCUAUACGGGAAGUCAUGAUCUAUACGGGAAGUCAAAUAUGGGAUUUUCCUGUAUGCAAACCAAACAACUAUUAGGAAAAUAAGGGAUUUUCUUGGUUCAACUAUCUACAUUUUUCAACAUAAAU
rnacentral:lncRNA from 1 species